UAGCGUAAUAAUUUGUCCCUUAAUUAGGGAAAGGUAUGAAAGGUUUGACGAAGGAGCCCCUGUCUCUUUAAUACAGUUUAAAUUUAAAUUCUAGUUUAAAAUGACUAGAUUCUUAAAAAAGACGAGAAGACCCCAUCGAGCUUAAUAGCAUCCUCCUGUUAAGGUUUGUUGUAAGUUUUAUUGGGGCAAUAGGAAGUAAAGGUAUUUCUUCCUUGUAAAGUAUUGAUCCAGUAUGAUUGAACAGAGAAAAAGCUACCGUGGGGAUAACAGCGUAAUUCUCUCUGAGAGUUCUUAUUGAUGAGGGAGUUUGCGACCUCGAUGUUGAAUUAAGGUUACCUUUUGGAGCAGAAGCUAAAAUCGGUGAGACUGUUCGUCUCUUAAAACUUUACGUGAUCUGAGUUCAGACCGGAG
rnacentral:rRNA from 1 species